rnacentral:sRNA from 1 species
GAGCAAAGUUAGCAAGUUGCAGCGCCUCUGCGUUCUGAUUCUAUGGAACCUUUUUGUAGGGAGAAGGGCAGGAUGUUUUUAACUGAAUGUGACCUCACGGGAAUACUAGAGAAAAUAAUAAAAUUUCUGAAUGGGGCAGCGUGGAGAAAUCCUAAGAGAAAUAGCAUAAGAGCAUUUUGGAACACAUCCAGGAAAAGAUAACUUUCGACACACCUGUAGACGUUCGCCAGGUAAAGAUGGAGUUCUGCUCUUGUCGCCCAGGCGGAGUACAAUGGCACAGUCUCAGCUCACUGCAACCUCUGCCUCCUGGGUUCAAACAAUUCUCCUGCCCAGCCUCCCGAGUGGCUGGGAUUACAAGUGCCUGCCACCACGACCGGCUAAUUUUGUACUUUUAGUAGAGAUGGGGUUUCACCAUGUUGGCCAGGCUGGGCUCAAAAUCCUGACCUCAGGUGAUUCACCUGCCUCAGCCUCUCAAAGUGCUGGGAUUACAAGGCUUGAACCACUGUGUCCAGCCUCCUGCAUUUUUUUUUCAUUUCCC